AUGAAGCGGCUUUCGUUUUAAAAUGACUUCAGAACAACCAAGAUGCUAAAUCUCACUGACUUGCAGACAGAAUUAGAUUGGGGCUGUUUCCAGCAUCUUCCAAAGAGACCACCAAUCUGAAUUCAAAGACUUCAAGAGAUGGAGAAACCACCACUUCCCUUGGGAGUUCAUGCCCACAAUUACUCUAAUUAAAAAUUAAUACUCUAAUGGUGA